GCCAACACACCGUCAACCAUGAGAUCAACUCCAAGGCUACAGCCACUGCCAGCCAUGUCCUGCCUCUAAAACAAAAACCUACCGUUUAUAAAGCCUUUUAACGCACACACCAAAAGCAGACUUGCUGCUGAUUUUUACUACGUAAAUUUUUUUUUCUGAAAACGUGGGAUUUUUUUCUAAUAAGAAGCAGAGAAGAUGUCUCCCCCCGCGCAGGAGAAGAGGAGGUCUGGCGUUCAGCUGCUGAGCGCGGCGCUGCUGCUGCUCGCGCUCUCUGGUUGUUCAGGCAUGGAUGUAACUGUGUCCAGUUACAUUAAUGCACUGAAUGGAACAACUGUCAGAAUCCAGUGCAUAUUUACUUCCUGCUAUAAGAUGGAUGCCACGAAGUUUGCCAUGAACUGGACCUACCAAGAAACAUUAAAUGAUACAGAAGAGAUGUUUAUGACAUACUCCAGGAAAAAAGGAAUGGUGCCUCUUCGUUCAGACCGGUUUGGAGAAAGGGUCAUGUUUUCCGGGAACCUGGAUAAGAACGACCUGUCAUUCACCCUGUCAGAUGUGCAGCUUGAGGAUGAGGGGGUUUACAACUGCUAUGUGAGAAACCCCCCAGACCGCAUUCAGGGACAUGGUGUCAUACAGCUCAAAGUUGUCACUGAACUUCCCCCUCCGAGGGAUUCAACCAUCGCAGUUGCGAUUGGGGCAUCGGUGGGAGGUGCAUUAGCUUUGCUCAUCUUGUCCAUGGUUGUCGUGAAAUGUCUUCGGCGACAUCGGAAACAGGAACUGAUUUCAGAGGAGAAGAUGGAGGAGGAGGGAAAGCUUGAGGCUGAAGGUGUUGCAGAGGAGGGAACCAAACAACCAUAGCUGGGUCAUCCGAUUGAAGAGCCUGUAGAGCCCUCACCCCCAACACUUCCUCUGACAUGUGCACCCCCUUCCUGAAGAUCUAUAGUAACCACUGCUUGAAUUGGCUUCUCUGUGUGUGAGUGGAUGUAAUGAAUGUCUAUGUGUGUGUGCGUAUUUCUGUAUGAGAUCCAUCUUUUUCCUUGAAACACUCCAGUGAACACUUUUCUGCAAUUUACCCACUAAGCACAUUGUACAUUUUACAUAGGUACAAGUCAAUAUCAGUGGCAUCAGAAGUCAAUCUCAUGAUAAGAAAUGUCAUUUUCUUAGCAAAUUAUACAAAAUGAUAGGGCUACAUGACGUGACCUAAAAUUUAUACCACAGUAUAGUUUGAAUAUGGAACAGUAACAAGCAUUAUUAUUAAUUAAUUAUUAAUAAAGUUAACAGUGGUUGUGGAGGCAGGGCUUCGUAUUUUAUGGAGGUCAAAAGCUAAUUACACUGCAGAACAGGAAGUUGUGCUUAUAUCUGUUUGUGAUGUUUGUUUGCUUCACUGUCUCACAACAUCCACGGUCAUCUUUGGGAGUUUUGGGCGUUUGUUUAACAUACUGUGAAUUCACCUUUUUUCAACAUUGCCUUAAAGAAAUGUCUCUCAGCUGCCUGUAUGGGCACCAUGUCUUAACAUAGAUGCACAGUAAGUGCAUGAUGUGUCAGUGACUCAGCCAAACGUAUGUCUCCAUGAUGUGUACUUGUGUCAGAGCCAGACAGCAUCUCAAACAUUCCUCGUACCUGUGGAGGUUUUUCCUUUUUUUUUUUCUUGACUUUUUUUACAGCACAUAUUUUGAUUUGUUAUAGUAGAGAAAGCACAGGUGCUGUUCACAUCAACAAUCAGUCACAACAAUGAGUCUGUUCUACUCAGGUGUCUCAGUAAGUGAUGACAGUAGCUCUGUCCAAAGUCACUUCCUAUUAAGUAUAGUGCGUUACAUUUUUGCUCCUUUGUUACGUUAUACUAAUUUCCCAUGAGUGUAAAAUAUAACCAUAAUAUUGUGGCCACAAAAAUUUCCAUAGUGGAAUAACUAAUGUGUCCAUAGGCAUGUACACUAUUUUUACCAGCAAUCCCACAACACGUUGUGCUG